UUAAGCUAUAAAGAGCACAGGGUGGAUGCCUAGGCACUGAGAGCCGAUGAAGGACGUGAUAAGCUGCGAAAAGCCACGGGGAGGAGCAAAUAUCCUUUGAGCCGUGGAUAUCCGAAUGGGGGAACCCACUUAAGUAAACCUUAAGUACUGACAAGCCAAUACAUAACUUGCCAGAGGGAACCCGGGGAACUGAAACAUCUAAGUACCCGGAGGAAGAGAAAGAAACAUCGAUUUCCUUAGUAGCGGCGAGCGAAAGGGAAAGAGCCCAAACCGAGAGAUUUAUCUUUCGGGGUUAGGACUGCAUAAUUGAUCUGCGAUUGAUAGGAGAAUGGUCUGGGAAGUCCAGCAGGAAAGCGUGAAAGCCGCGUAUCCGAAAUUGAAAGCAGCAAGGCAGUAUCCAGAGUACCACGAGACACGAGGAACCUUGUGGGAAUGAGCGGAGACCACUCCGUAAGGCUAAAUACUACUCAGUGACCGAUAGCGCAUAGUACUGUGAAGGAAAGGUGAAAAGGACCCCGGGAGGGGAGUGAAAGAGAACCUGAAACCCUGUGUUUACAAGCUGUCGGAGCACGUUAGUGCGACGGCGUACUUUUUGUAGAACGGUCCGGCGAGUUAUGAUACGCGGUAAGGUUAAGGACUUAAGGUCCGGAGCCGAAGCGAAAGCGAGUGUUAAGAGCACGAGGAAUCACGUAUCAUAGACCCGAAACCGGGUGAUCUAUCCAUGUCCAGGAUGAAGCUGCCGUAAGAGGUAGUGGAGGUCCGAACACACAUCCGUUGAAAAGGGUGGUGAUGAGGUGUGGAUAGGGGAGAAAUUCCAAUCGAACCCGGAGAUAGCUGGUUCUCCUCGAAAUAGCUUUAGGGCUAGCCUCGGUCAUGAGUCUUGUGGAGGUAGAGCACUGAAUUUCCUAGGGGGCGUCAAAGCCUACCGAAGAAUAUCAAACUGCGAAUGGCGGACAGAUGAUGCUGGGGAGUCAGACUGCACGAGAUAAGUUGGGUGGUCAAAAGGGAAAGAGCCCAGACCUACAGCUAAGGUCCCAAAGUGCGUGUUAAGUGGAAAAGGAUGUGGGAUUUCGAAGACAACUAGGAUGUUGGCUCAGAAGCAGCCAUACAUUCAAAGAGUGCGUAAUAGCUCACUAGUCGAGAGGUCCUGCGCCGAAAAUGUCCGGGGCUGAAACACGACACCGAAGCUUAGGAACAGAAAUGUUGGUAGAGGAGCAUUGUUAGCGGAACGAAGCCAUACCGGAAGGAGUGGUGGACUGCUAAGAAGAGAGAAUGCCGGAAUGAGUAGCGAGAUUGAAGUGAGAAUCUUCAAGGCCGAAUAUCUAAGGUUUCCAGGGUAAAGCUGAUCUGCCCUGGGUAAGUCGGGGCCUAAGGCGAGGUCGAAAGACGUAGCCGAUGGACAACAGGUUGAAAUUCCUGUACUGCGAUAUAUCAGAAAUGUGGGGACACAGAAGGAAAGUGUGAGCCGGGAAAGGAAAGACCGGUGCAAGCACAGGAGGAGGGAUACAGGCAAAUCCGUAUCCCAAUCCAAUGGUGUUACGCGGAGCGAACAAAAGUAGCGAAGCACACAGACCAUCUGUCGAGAAAAGCCGCUAUUGUGUAUACCGUACCCGUACCGUAAACCGACACAGGUGGAUGAGGAGAGAAUCCUAAGGCCGGCGGGAGAAGCAUUGUUAAGGAACUCGGCAAAAUGACCCCGUAACUUCGGGAGAAGGGGUGCUCACGCAAGUGAGCCGCAGAGAACUGGCCCAAGCAACUGUUUAGCAAAAACACAGGUCUAUGCAAAACCGAAAGGUGAGGUAUAUGGGCUGACGCCUGCCCGGUGCUGGAAGGUUAAGAGGAGAGGUUAGCGCAAGCGAAGCUUUGAAUUUAAGCCCCAGUAAACGGCGGCCGUAACUAUAACGGUCCUAAGGUAGCGAAAUUCCUUGUCGGGU
rnacentral:rRNA from 1 species